UCUCUCAAUCCCCCCCUCUUUUUUUCUUCUCUCUUUUUGCUGCUAAACCAUUGCUGAGAGACCAUGAAAAGAGCAUCGCUGGGCGGCGUUUUGUUGUUCAGGUUAGUGCCCUUUUUCUUUAACUUCCUAAAAUUUUCCCUUGAAUCUCCGUCAAUACAUUCUUCAACCACAGGAGCAGUGAUUUUGCCCUCCUUUGACUUAGGUUCUUUAGCAAUCAAACCCAUCUCACGCCAACCUUUUCCACUUCACUAUUUUGCAGCGUUUUUCUUUGUUUACUUUUUAAUUUUUUUUGCUUUAUUUUAAUUUCUAACUUCACACAUAUUCAGAGAGAAAGUAGAUCUGGAUAUCUAUAUAAAUUUUUUUUUACUUUGUUUCUUUCGAUUAUUUCUCACAUUAUUUGUUAAGCGAUUGACUGAAAAUGAUGUAAUUGACUACUUGUAUUUUUUAUUUUUGCGGAAUAGGAACAAGCAAAAUGAAGGAAAGAUGAAGAACAAAGAGCAACAGAAUUCUCUUUUUUUUAAACGUAUUUUUUGUACAUUUAUUUGUUGAGAAACUACUGUAAAUUGUUUAAUAUUAAAGUUAUUAUAUAGUACUUGUUUGUAAAAUUUAGAUUGAUAUGAAUUUGAUUUGUAAUGUCGAAUUUGUUUUUUAUUGUUUGAGUUAUUUAAUGAAAUUACUUUGAGUCC
rnacentral:lncRNA from 1 species